rnacentral:rRNA from 1 species
UAAUACAUGCAAGUCGAACGCGCAGCGAAAGGUGCUUGCACCUUUCAAGCGAGUGGCGAACGGGUGAGUAACACGUGGAUAACCUGCCUCAAGGCUGGGGAUAACAUUUGGAAACAGAUGCUAAUACCGAAUAAAACUUAGUAUCGCAUGAUACAAAGUUGAAAGGCGCUACGGCGUCACCUAGAGAUGGGUCCGCGGUGCAUUAGUUAGUUGGUGGGGUAAAGGCCUACCAAGACAAUGAUGCAUAGCCGAGUUGAGAGACUGAUCGGCCACAUUGGGACUGAGACACGGCCCAAACUCCUACGGGAGGCUGCAGUAGGGAAUCUUCCACAAUGGGCGAAAGCCUGAUGGAGCAACGCCGCGUGUGUGAUGAAGGCUUUAGGGUCGUAAAGCACUGUUGUAUGGGAAGAAAUGCUAGAAUAGGGAAUGAUUCUAGUUCGACGGUACCAUACCAGAAAGGGACGGCUAAAUACGUGCCAGCAGCCGCGGUAAUACGUAUGUCCCGAGCGUUAUCCGGAUUUAUUGGGCGUAAAGCGAGCGCAGACGGUUGAUUAAGUCUGAUGUGAAAGCCCGGAGCUCAACUCCGGAAUGGCAUUGGAAACUGGUUAACUUGAGUGUUGUAGAGGUAAGUGGAACUCCAUGUGUAGCGGUGGAAUGCGUAGAUAUAUGGAAGAACACCAGUGGCGAAGGCGGCUUACUGGACAACAACUGACGUUGAGGCUCGAAAGU